rnacentral:misc_RNA from 1 species
AAGUCGUAACAAGGUUUCCGUAGGUGAACCUGCGGAAGGAUCAUUAUUAAUUCUUCUAGUUAAGCGGCUGCGCGUUUUUUUUUUAAAAGAACCGCAGCUGUUUUUCUUGUGAACUGGGGCCUGCUAGUAAAUUUAUUUUACCAGCGGGCCUGUCGUUAAUGCUCUUGUGUUAAAUUUUUUUGUUUUUGCUUUUUUUAAGCCUAACCGCUUAAGAAAAAUAAUUACAAGACAACUUUCAGCAAUGGAUCUCUUGGCUCUU